AGUGAACGCUGGCGGCAGGCCUAACAAAUGUAAGUCGAGCGGAGCGGCGGACGGGUGAGUAAUGCCUAGGAAUCUGCCUGGUAGUGGGGGAUAACGUCCGGAAACGGGCGCUAAUACCGCAUACUAUCAGAUGAGCCUAGGUCGGAUUAGCUAGGUGGUGGGGUAAAGGCCUACCAAGGCGACGAUCCGUAACUGGUCUGAGAGGAUGAUCAGUCACACUGGAACUGAGACACGGUCCCGACUCCUACGGGAGGCAGCAGUGGGGAAUAUUGGACAAUGGGCGAAAGUCUGCUCCAGCCAGGCCGCGGGUGUGAAGAAGUUCUUCGGUUUGUAAAUUCCUUUCAGCCGGGAGCCGUUACCCGCCGAAGACGCACCGGCUAACUCCGUGCCAGCAGCCGCGGUAAUAC
rnacentral:rRNA from 1 species